GGCUGCUGAGAACACGUGGUGAACAUCCACGUGGGACAGGCAGUGCCGUGUCAACCCCUUUCUCACCCUGGAGUUUGCCAGUAAUGUUCCUGCUUUUUCAGUUCUGUUCUAAGUUAAAGGAUGCUAGAGUUCUGAAGCGAGAAGGCACCGGAUGGUCCAGCUGCCUGAGCUCAGACAGGAAAGUCCACUCGAAGGCACACAGUGAGUGGCUCGCAGACUCGGACCAGACGGGAUCCUGUGGCUUCUGCCCCAGAUGCCGGUCCACAUCUGUAGGGCUGCAGGCACCCCCAUUUCUUGUUGAAGUUUGAUUAUGACGACCACACGGAAGGUGAUUUGAGGCUCAAGUUACGUGCACUGAAGGCCAAGAGGAAUGUGGCUUUUCAUGAGACCUGUCUGUUCCGGGGUCACCCUCUCUCCUAAUGGGAGCUGUUCAAAACUAGAGGCGCAAUGACAUCAUUAAUGAUUUAUAAAAAUUGCCCAUUUCUGUUUGCAACCCUUGCACACGGAGCAGCCCUCAAUGACCUGGCCAGGGAGUCCCCUGACACUGUGCACCUGGACGAGGGGAACAGUCACCGGGUCCACCGUGCAGGACAGAAAGUCACCCGGGCUACACGCAGGCAGGACAGCACCCAGCAUUGUCCUCAACUUCUGCCUGAGUGUAAAAGCAGCUACCGCACUGGAAAUGAAUUAGCGGCAGCUGGACAAAACUCGAGGAAUCUUACCAACAUCACGCAGAAGCGAAAAACAGUCCCAAGAGAUCACCCAGACCAGGGAUUCAUUUUCAGAGGCAUAAAAAUCAAGCCACAGGAAAGCAUAGACUGUUUAGAAAUUCAUCACCUUUGGGAUAAAACAGCUUUUCGAUUCAACGCACAGUUCAGGGUGGUGGUUAUGUCUGAGCCGGCUGCAGCGCAGAUGCAAGAAAUGGGUGACUUUCUCAUUUGUAAACGGGGCGAUGGGUCAAAAAAGCAGGGGAGGGGGAGAGAUGUUAGGCCAACUUCUGGACAGAACUUCGGACUCGGGUCGAUUAAGCAAGACGUCAUAUUCUGACAGUUUCAGACCAUCUACCAGCAAGAAGAUUCUUUAUAAUCUAUGUUGAUUAGAAAUGAAAACACCGAACUAAAUGAGGCCACGGCCACAGUGCCUCACCGUUCACUCGUUCUGUAGCAAAUGAUCUUAACUAUUCACGUCCUGUUCUUUUAGACGGAGGACGUUGGGGAGACCAGGAGGUAGACCGAGCUGCAGUGUGCAAGGGAUGGCAACGUCCUAAAAGAAAGUUGGCUUUUAAGUUUGUUUUUAGUAAGUAAAUGCGUGACGGUGCUUGACCGGGUGGCUGGUUGCAAGAUGGUUGCUGUGGUUCCGUGCAUCAAGCUCUAAUCGAGGUGGGAAGGUGGGCCACUGUGUGGGGCCCGAAGCAGAGAUGGUUUGCGGGGCUCCGAUGUCUUUCCACAGCCCAGUGGAUGGGGCUCCCGCACGGAACAGGGCAGAAAUGAACCAGAGGGCGGCACAACUGAGUGGAAUUAAGACCCAAGUCAAGACAACGGGAAAGGCUUUAUGGGGAGAAAAAGACAAGAGGGUUCUUCUCUUCCGCCCACGUUUCCUCUAGAGGCACGAGGGCAGACAAGCACCCGGGCAGAGAGGCGGGGGGCGUGUGCCGUGGGUCCCGUCUCAGGGAAGGAUGUGCAGGAGCCUGGGAAGCAAAGCCAAGGUGACAGGAGCCCUGAGGACUGCCAGCCCCUCUUCCCCAGGGCUCCCCUUUAGCCGGGUGGCCUCAGUUAGGGUCGGUUUAACAGGGCCUGCUCACGUCCAGCAAGGAGGGGGCAGGGGGCCUCUGAGAGCCUCACCUCUACCAGUGGGUGGAGUUUGACUCGGUCUCCUUGCUCUGAACCUUGUUCUCAGAAUUCCUGGGGUGCAGCCGGGGGCAGCUCUGGGCCCCGGUAAGCCUGCUACACCCCCACCGUCCUCUCUAACGUGGCUGCCUCUGCCUGAGCCGUGCCGUCCGCUCCGCCGCGGUCUCUCAGCUGCCUUCUGGUCUCCUCCGGAGGCUGCGUCCCCUCCCUGAACUUGGACCCGCUUAGCUGGGCCCAGAGGUCCUGCUCCAGUUUUCCAGACCCUCUUUAUGGUUUGGAUGCUGCCCUUCCUCCCACUGGCUUUCGGGGUUCUGCUCCACACUGAGUCUAACACAGUUUACAACUGGGGGACUCCACGCUCCCGGGCACCCCCAUAUUCUGGGGACACAUCCCAGCCCCCUGGGCACUCCCUAUGAAGGGGCAAAACCCACGAAGGGACCAGCAGGACCUCCCAGGCAGGGCCACUGCCUUCCUGCUUUUGCACUUCUGUAAAACGGCUUGCUUCUAGGAAAACGAAACUGACCCCUAAAAUUCCAUGGGUUCCCAAAAGCUCCCUCCUGAUUGGUCCAUUUCUAGCACCUCAUUUGCAUUUACCCCUAAAAUUCCAUUGGUUCCUGAAGGCUCACUCCUGACUGGUCCAUUUCUAACACCUCAUUUGCAUGUGGCAUGAACUCAGUUGAAACCUAAAACCCUAUAAAAAAGUGUGUAAAUCUACAGACGGGGUGCAGAGCUUGGAGUGGUAACUCCUCUGGGCCCGUGGGUGUAAUAAACCCGAGUUCUCCAAA